rnacentral:rRNA from 1 species
GACGAACGCUGGCGGCGUGCUUAACACAUGCAAGUCGAGCGGAAAGGCCACUUCGGUGGUACUCGAGCGGCGAACGGGUGAGUAACACGUGAGUAAUCUGCCCCUGGCUUUGGGAUAGCCACCGGAAACGGUGAUUAAUACCGGAUACGACCACUUCUCGCAUGGGAUGGUGGCGGAAAGUUUUUUCGGCCAGGGAUGUGCUCGCGGCCUAUCAGCUUGAUGGUGAGGUAAUGGCUCACCAUGGCUUCGACGGGUAGCCGGCCUGGGAGGGUGACCGGUCACACUGGGACUGAGACACGGCCCAGACUCCUACGGGAGGCAGCAGUGGGGAAUAUUGGACAAUGGGCGGAAGCCUGAUCCAGCAACGCCGCGUGAGGGAUGACGGCCUUCGGGUUGUAAACCUCUUUCAGCAGGGACGAAGCGCAAGUGACGGUACCUGCAGAAGAAGCACCGGCCAACUACGUGCCAGCCGCCGCGGUAA